AAAAAUGCCAGAUGCUACACAUUCUUGGGUGACUAAAACUAUGAAUCUCAAGGGAUGCAGGGCUAAGUAUCUACAGAACUAUUCCUAUAUGGCAUACACUAGUUCAGAUAAUAGAGGAAGAGGUAGUGGUUGGGCCCUUUGGUUUGAUAAUCUGAUUGAUUGCAGACAAUUUGAAUCAAAAGGGCAGGAUCUAUAUGUUAAGAGUGUCUGCUUCAGAAUCAGGUAUGAGUCUGCAUUUUCUCUUGUUUUCGCUGCUUUUUUCAUUUUUGUUCAUGUAUGCUUUUCCUUAUCAAAUUUCGCCAUACAGAAUUGAAAGAUAAGCCUAGGAUAAAACUUCCUGCAGUAAUUGCAACACCACUAUGCUGUGCUUUCGGGGUUGUAUACAGUCGGUCAUUACCUUUACAGAGGCAAUGCAAAGUUGAACGGACUUGCUCCUAACCAAACUGAUGAUACAAGGCUACACAUGGAAUGCAGAAAGCCAAGCUUGGAUGCGAUAAGCCAAGGUUGAAGCUUGUUGCAUCUAUUGCAAAACCGCUGUGUUGCACUUUUGGGGCUGUUUAUAAUCAGUUAUUACAUUUACAGAGUCCGCAGAAAGUUGAAAGAGAAACAGAAAACAAUAAGGAAAAUGAUUCAGAAAAUCAAGGCCUGGAUGAAGACUUGGAGCUUGCAAUAUUUGCGCUUGCUACUCAUAGCUUUUCUAUGGACAACAAGCCAGGGGAAGGUGGUUUUGGAGCUGUUUAUAAGGGGCUAGAGAAAACCAUGUGAUAAAGGACAGGAGCACUGAAGGGCAAAGCGAAGACUCAGAAGUCCAGUUAUUCGACUUAUCAUUAGUAUCCGAAGCAAGCAAUGAUUUCUCCAUUGACAACAAACUAGGACAAGGUGGUUUUGGGCAUGCAUACAGGGGUAACCUGGUAGAUGGACAAGAGAUCGCUGUGAAGAGGCUUUCAAGAAGCUCUGGACAAGGUUUAACUGAGUUCAAAAAUGAAGUAGCACUAAUUGCCAAGCUUCAACAUCGAAAUCUUGUAAAGCUCCUGGGAUGUUGCAUUGAAGGAGAGGAAAAGAUGCUGGUUUAUGAAUAUAUGCCAAACAAAAGUUUGGACUUCUUCAAUUUCAGUAUUCAAUCUCUCAAUUAUCCUAUAAAUUCUUUAGGACUAGUUUAUAUCAAAGAGAGAUCCCUUGUUUUAACUUUAAUCCAAUAUUCCGCUUGUAAAGGUUUAGUUAGUAGAUGAACUAAUGUGAUGCCUUCCCUUUUAAAAGAACGAGUUGAUUAAUCCAUGAUUUCUCUGGGUUAGACAUAUUUAUUACUCCAUCAGUCUCAUAUACAA